ACACUGCCUUACACAAGGGGAUAGCCGUUGGAAACGACGAAUAAUACCCUAUGAAACUAUCACUUCGCAUGAAGCGAUAGUCAAAGUGUUAGCGGUGUAAGAUGGACUUGCGUCCGAUUAGCUAGUUGGUGAGAAAAAAGCCCACCAAGGCAACGAUCAGUAGCCGGCUUGAGAGAGUGUACGGCCACAUUGGGACUGAGACACGGCCCAG
rnacentral:rRNA from 1 species